rnacentral:misc_RNA from 1 species
AAGUCGUAACAAGGUUUCCGUAGGUGAACCUGCGGAAGGAUCAUUAGUAGUAAUUUAGAGCAUGGUAACUUCGGUUAGCUUCAAUCCCAUUCAUUUUCCAACUCUGUGUGCAGCUGAAUUGGGCAGGAACUUGAAACGUAAGAAAUUACCACUAAGUCUGGCGGCUCAUUAUUAAACAUUAGUUAAAGUAUGUGUUAUAAAAAUAAACAAAAAAAA